CUUGCUUCUCUUGAGAGCGGCGGACGGGUGAGUAAUGCCUAGGAAUCUGCCUGGUAGUGGGGGAUAACGUUCGGAAACGGACGCUAAUACCGCAUACGUCCUACGGGAGAAAGCAGGGGACCUUCGGGCCUUGCGCUAUCAGAUGAGCCUAGGUCGGAUUAGCUAGUUGGUGGGGUAAUGGCUCACCAAGGCGACGAUCCGUAACUGGUCUGAGAGGAUGAUCAGUCACACUGGAACUGAGACACGGUCCAGACUCCUACGGGAGGCAGCAGUGGGGAAUAUUGGACAAUGGGCGAAAGCCUGAUCCAGCCAUGCCGCGUGUGUGAAGAAGGUCUUCGGAUUGUAAAGCACUUUAAGUUGGGAGGAAGGGUUGUAGAUUAAUACUCUGCAAUUUUGACGUUACCGACAGAAUAAGCACCGGCUAACUCUGUGCCAGCAGCCGCGGUAAUACAGAGGGUGCAAGCGUUAAUCGGAAUUACUGGGCGUAAAGCGCGCGUAGGUGGUUUGUUAAGUUGGAUGUGAAAUCCCCGGGCUCAACCUGGGAACUGCAUUCAAAACUGACUGACUAGAGUAUGGUAGAGGGUGGUGGAAUUUCCUGUGUAGCGGGCGAAAUGCGUAGAUAUAGGAAGGAACACCAGUGGCGAAGGCGACCACCUGGACUAAUACUG
rnacentral:rRNA from 1 species